rnacentral:rRNA from 1 species
GGUCAGGUCAUCAUGGCUCUUACGCCCAGGGCUACACACGUGCUACAAUGGCGUGUACAAAAGGAUGCUACUUGGUAACAAGCGGCCAAUCUUCAAAGCACGUCUCAGUUCGGAUUGAGGUCUGCAACUCGACCUCAUGAAGCUGGAAUCGCUAGUAAUCGCGUAUCAGCAAUGACGCGGUGAAUACGUUCUCGGACCUU